AAUAGACAUGCAAGUCGAGCGAACAGAAGGGAGCUUGCUCCCGGAUGUUAGCGGCGGACGGGUGAGUAACACGUGGGUAACCUGCCUGUAAGACUGGGAUAACUCCGGGAAACCGGAGCUAAUACCGGAUAGUUCCUUGAACCGCAUGGUUCAAGGAUGAAAGACGGUUUCGGCUGUCACUUACAGAUGGACCCGCGGCGCAUUAGCUAGUUGGUGGGGUAAUGGCUCACCAAGGCGACGAUGCGUAGCCGACCUGAGAGGGUGAUCGGCCACACUGGGACUGAGACACGGCCCAGACUCCUACGGGAGGCAGCAGUAGGGAAUCUUCCGCAAUGGACGAAAGUCUGACGGAGCAACGCCGCGUGAGUGAUGAAGGUUUUCGGAUCGUAAAGCUCUGUUGUUAGGGAAGAACAAGUGCGAGAGUAACUGCUCGCACCUUGACGGUACCUAACCAGAAAGCCACGGCUAACUACGUGCCAGCAGCCGCGGUAAUACGUAGGUGGCAAGCGUUGUCCGGAAUUAUUGGGCGUAAAGGGCUCGCAGGCGGUUUCUUAAGUCUGAUGUGAAAGCCCCCGGCUCAACCGGGGAGGGUCAUUGGAAACUGGGAAACUUGAGUGCAGAAGAGGAGAGUGGAAUUCCACGUGUAGCGGUGAAAUGCGUAGAGAUGUGGAGGAACACCAGUGGCGAAGGCGACUCUCUGGUCUGUAACUGACGCUGAGGAGCGAAAGCGUGGGGAGCGAACAGGAUUAGAUACCCUGGUAGUCCACGCCGUAAACGAUGAGUGCUAAGUGGUUAGGGGGUUUCCGCCCCUUAGUGCUGCAGCUAACGCAUUAAGCACUCCGCCUGGGGGAGUACGGUCGCAAGACUGAAACUCAAAGGAAUUGACGGGGGCCGCACAACGGUGGAG
rnacentral:rRNA from 1 species